rnacentral:tRNA from 3 species
GCCCUCAUAGCUCAACGGAUAGAGCAGAUUCGUCCUAAGAAUAAGACGGGGGUCCAAUUCCCUCUGAGGGCA